rnacentral:rRNA from 1 species
GACGAACGCUGGCGGCGUGCCUAAUACAUGCAAGUCGAGCGGACAGAUGGGAGCUUGCUCCCUGAUGUUAGCGGCGGACGGGUGAGUAACACGUGGGUAACCUGCCUGUAAGACUGGGAUAACUCCGGGAAACCGGGGCUAAUACCGGAUGGUUGUUUGAACCGCAUGGUUCAAACAUAAAAGGUGGCUUCGGCUACCACUUACAGAUGGACCCGCGGCGCAUUAGCUAGUUGGUGAGGUAAUGGCUCACCAAGGCAACGAUGCGUAGCCGACCUGAGAGGGUGAUCGGCCACACUGGGACUGAGACACGGCCCAGACUCCUACGGGAGGCAGCAGUAGGGAAUCUUCCGCAAUGGACGAAAGUCUGACGGAGCAACGCCGCGUGAGUGAUGAAGGUUUUCGGAUCGUAAAGCUCUGUUGUUAGGGAAGAACAAGUACCGUUCGAAUAGGGCGGUAC